rnacentral:rRNA from 1 species
GUCGAGCGGACUAAUGGGAGCUUGCUCCCAGAGGUUAGCGGCGAACGGGUGAGUAACACGUGGGCAACCUGCCCUGUAGACUGGGAUAACAUCGAGAAAUCGGUGCUAAUACCGGAUAAUAAUAGGAACUGCAUAGUUCCCAUUUAAAAGAUGGCUCCGGCUAUCACUACAGGAUGGGCCCGCGACGCAUUAGCUAGUUGGUAAGGUAACGGCUUACCAAGGCGACGAUGCGUAGCCGACCUGAGAGGGUGAUCGGCCACACUGGGACUGAGACACGGCCCAGACUCCUACGGGAGGCAGCAGUAGGGAAUCUUCCGCAAUGGACGAAAGUCUGACGGAGCAACGCCGCGUGAGUGAUGAAGGGUUUCGGCUCGUAAAGCUCUGUUGUUAGGGAAGAACAAGUGCCGUUCAAAUAGGGCGGCACCUUGACGGUACCUAACCAGAAAGCCACGGCUAACUACGUGCCAGCAGCCGCGGUAAUACGUAGGUGGCAAGCGUUGUCCGGAAUUAUUGGGCGUAAAGCGCGCGCAGGCGGUCUUUUAAGUCUGAUGUGAAAUCUCGGGGCUCAACCCCGAGCGGUCAUUGGAAACUGGGAGACUUGAGUACAGAAGAGGAGAGUGGAAUUCCACGUGUAGCGGUGAAAUGCGUAGAUAUGUGGAGGAACACCAGUGGCGAAGGCGACUCUCUGGUCUGUAACUGACGCUGAGGCGCGAAAGCGUGGGGAGCAAACAGGAU